CAAAACUCAUCAUUUACAAUAUUAUAUUAGGAUUUUAAGUUUUAAGGAUGUUUUUGUCUUUUUGUUAUUUAUUUAAUUUUAGGCUUCCUUACGCAAGGAUUUCAAUUUAAAUGGUUAUGGAGUGGGUUAUCUCUCUUGCUCCUCUCAUAACUUAAUUCAAGAUCGAACUCUUGAAUUUUUGCUCUCAACUGAAGAUUUUCUCGCACUAAAUCUUCUCUCAAUUUUCUUUCUUAAAACAGAGGACAUCAAAAUUCAAAUUCUAAAACGAGAAGAACAAGGGUGAGAAAAUUAGCAGUUGAAGAACCAUUUGCCAUACUGACAAUGGUGGAUGGACACUUGGAAUGAACCAGAUAGUUUGGCCCUCCUAGCCUUCAAAGCUGGAACAAAGCAAGAUGCUCAUAAUGUAAUGAGCUCCUGGAACGAAUCCCUUCGCGUUGGAAUGUGGCAAGGUGUCGCAGGUAGUCGGCGACAUCCGCAAAAGGUCACAAUGUUGUACCUAUAAUCUCAUAAGGUGGCAGGGUCCCUUUCCCCACCCAUAGGAAAUCUAAGUUUUUUUGGGAGUACGGCUACAACGACAGUUUUGACGAUGAAAUUGUAGAAAAACUCAGUAGACAGAGAAGGAGAUAGCAAGAGCUGUUUACUGUUUGUGGAACGCUUAGCCUUUCUUCAUUCAUUAUCACGGUACAAGUAUAUAUACAAGAGACGAGUCCUGUACAAAGUGAUACAUAUCUGAGAAUUAUCCACAAUUAUAUUUGAAU